rnacentral:rRNA from 1 species
GUGCCAGCCGCCGCGGUAAUACAGAGGUCCCGAGCGUUGUUCGGAUUCACUGGGCGUAAAGGGUGCGUAGGCGGUCGGAUAAGUUUGAUGUGAAAUCUCCGGGCUUAACCCGGAAACUGCAUUGAAUACUAUUCGGCUUGAGGUCUGGAGGGGGGACUGGAAUUCUCGGUGUAGCAGUGAAAUGCGUAGAUAUCGAGAGGAACACCAGUGGCGAAGGCGAGUCCCUGGACAGGUCCUGACGCUGAGGCACGAAAGCUAGGGGAGCAAACAGGAUUAGAUACCCCGGUAGUCC